GUCUUGAAACACGGACCAAGGAGUCUAACAUGUGCGCAAGUCAUUGGGUUAAAAAACCUAAAGGCGAAAUAAAAGUAAAGAAAGCUUUGCUUUUUGAGGGAAGAUAGUCAUGUGGCUUUAUAAAAAAGGCAGUGACUCGCACUCCCGGGGCGUCUCUAUCUCAUUGCGAGUGGAGGCGCACCAAGAGCGUACACGUUAGGACCCGAAAGAUGGUGAACUAUGCCUGGUCAGGACGAAGCCAGGGGAAACCCUGGUGGAGGUCCGUAGCGAUUCUGACG
rnacentral:rRNA from 1 species